UUGAAUGUACUGCAAAGCAAACUUAUUUUAUUCAUGCGCCACAGAAGUUACUGUCCACUAUCGGGUAAAACCUUACAUUCGCCUUCAUCAUGGCUGGUGUUGCAACAGCGAAUAUGACCGCGCUGGUAUCCCCUACUCGAGUGAUAUUCUGUUUUAAAAUGAUAACUCGCUGGUUUUAGGUUUUGACAAGCGGAGGCAGCCUGGCGCUCGUUAAUGGGCUUAUUGUGACUCGCCGUUCACCUCAUUUGAACUUUUCUAAUCUUCCACAGAUACGGCAGAUAGCCUAGUCUGGCGGGUGAAGCCGUCGGUGCCGCGGCGAUAGACUAAAAGCUAUUCUUAGCAGGAGGAGGGCAAAAAAAAAACUUGACCUCCAGACAGAAAGACUUUCGUUGUUCGUUGAUGUUCGGUUCACCGUCAGCCAGCGAGAGCUUGGAGGGGAGCGGGGGGGAGGCUACAGAUACUGUAGUCGCUCUCUCUCUCUCUCUUUCUCCUUGUGACCGCGCUGUUUUCAGCUAACAAAAGUAACCGAGGGACAUGAACGGGCUGCAAAAGAAUGACAAGACUGCACUGUCCGAAGACCCGGGCGGACACCGGUUCAGGGUUUAAUGAUCACUCAUCUUGAACUUGGAAUUAAUCAGCGCAGGAUUCAGAUGCGUGUUUUUUUUUAUUGCUGUUGUUGUUUUGCUUGUUCUUCUGUACUGUACAAAUCAAGAUCAUUGCUUCCGCCCAACAUUGGAAUUACUUUUAAACAGAGGUUAUUGGAGACAAAAAGUCAUGACUACUUUGAGACUGCUUUGCCCUUUUGUGAUCUGUGUGGAUAUGAUACCAGACCGUACUCCACUCUGUGUACAGACGCCCAAGUCUGUGGAGGACAUUGGGGAGUAGAUGUCUGCUCCUGGCCAUCCAGGUGAGAGGUGGAUUUACAAUUUUUCCUAAAGGAAUUUCUCGUGCUGCACUGGACGUUGAUGAAGGGGCUUCACCAGCUAUGAAUGGCUCCAGGAUUAUGAUGUUGAGGUGGAAGAUGAACCUGUUGAGUGGUGUUGCUCUUCAGCCAGGCCCUUUUGUCCCAUAUUCCCAAGAGAGGCCACCAUUAGCCCAGCCUGAGUUUUGAGGAUGAAGGCUUGGACUGUAGCUUUCCAAGGAUUGCCAUGACAACAGCCAGGAGCUUUUGCAGUAAUAAGGUCACCAUCUACAUGACUUGACUGAACGCGCUCAGGUUUGUUUUUGUCCGAGUCAAGUCGUUUGCUCCAGGAAUGUCGCUUCAAAACGUUCCUGUCCUGGAUUUUUCGAUCCCGCUAGACCGCGGCUCAGUUCAAAACGUCUGCUCCCGAGGAAAUAUUGCCAAGCUGUGGCAUGUUUUUGUUUCUUAAUCGCUCUAAAUACCAUUUUACCGUUGUUGAGCCACCAGAAGCUUUUUUAUCAGUCAGUUGUACCUGCCUCACAGGUACAACAAAUAGUCAGAACCGCUGUUAGUUAAAGUUGCAUUGCAGUAAAUCCCCCCCCCCAAAAAAAUAGGUGCAUCAUUAUAUGGGGAUAAACUUUACAAGCUCCUGUCAGGAGGAAAGAAUGCUUCUGUCAGCAUGCUGGGAGAUAACUUAAUUUCUCUGAGACAUCCACCUAUGGGAGCUUUAAGCAAUGAUCCCAUUAAUAAUGUAAAAAGAGAAUCAAGCACUCCAUUGAGUACUAACAAUAGAUCUGCCUUCUGCCUUACACCCAGCCUCCUGCUAGAACUAGAUCUGCUAAAUGUUUCAGCAGAUGCGGACUCAAACAGUAAGUCUGGGUGUUCUCGACUUGUCGGGUGCGAUAGGGUUACGCCUAGCAGUGAGAGUGGAAGAGUAGGGGUUACAACAGUGCUCGUCUUUGCCUGGACCCGUGCAAGAGGCCAAGCUGCCUGUCCUUGUGGAAGUUAGUCGGCGUUAAAAUAUUUAAAAAAAAAACAUUUUUGGAGCGCUCAGACGGAGCCGUGCUUGGAAUGGAAUGGUUCGUUUUUAUGCUUUAUUUACUACACGAGUUCAUUAAGAACGGAUUCUCAUUUAGGAAUGUUAACCUGGGUAGCACCUGUACAGCGACAGAUUUACUGGAUACAUCUCAGUGAAGUUCCUUGCUCAGACAUACUGUACACCGGCGGUGGUCUAACUGGGAUUCAAUCCCAGAAUCCUGUGGUCCGAAUCCCAGAAUCCCAGAUUCAGGACCACUACUCAUCACAUUUUGCAGUGAGCGAUGAAUGAGCGUGAUUUUUUUUUUUUCAUUUAAAAGUUAAAAAGCCUGCUUGUUAAUUAAAGCAUUGUCUUUUCUCCUUUACCAUGCUCGAUAUCUGCAAAGACAUUUGCAGUAAUUGCACAGAAACAUGUAUACAGAAGCUAAUGUGCUAACCCUAUACAAAAGGGCUAAUGGAAAUUAAAAUGGGAUUUUUUUUCACGACCAAAAUGUUCUUUUGUGUCAGCAGCACAAAAUAAAAAUGUCUUGAGUUUUUGCAAGUGGCUUAGUUAAAAACCUGAAUCAUUUUCCAGUGUUAAUGCAUCCCUGUAAUCAUUAGUGGACGAGAAGCACAUAUUCGAAGGUGCUCAUCGCUUUACUGCAUUUCAAAUCUUCGGUAAAAAGCAUGAAAAAAAGACCAUCUGAUUUCCCAGGCUCUUAGAAGCAAACAUAAAAAAGAACAUACUGUAAGAAACGUUUCAAAAACAAAGUUUCACUCAGCCCAUCUAGAUCAUUUCGUUGUACGUAGCCUAUUAAUCCUGGGAUCUCAUCCAGGUAUUUCUUAAAGGCAGCGGGGUUAUCAGCUCUUAACAAGAUGGCAUGGUUACUUGUCCGAAGCUCCUAUAACUCAAAGUGUAAAACGAAAAAAGUGCAGACUGUUCUCGGUUUUAAGCUUGUUCUCCCUAAGUUUUCCUCUCAUGUCCUCUGCUUCGUGUUUUGCUGCUGAAACUUGUUGAGGCAUUCAUCUUCAGUUGAGAAACUGCAUGCAGUGACGUAUGUAGCCUGGACUUGGUGUAAGACAGCAGACAAUGCUCACAGAGCAGAAUAGUUCCACCUGCUUGCUUUGGCUCUCCACGGGUUCAGGGAUUUAAAUGAAUAUUGGACUUCUGGAUUUUUGCAACUGUUUUCAAUUUUUUCCAAUAAGCAGACUUUAGGAAGGCAAGGAAGUGCAAUGGUCAGCAUUGUUUCUUCGCAGCACUGGGGCCCUGGGUUCAAUUCCCGGAGUCCUGUCUGUGAGGAGUUUGCAUGUUCUGCUCGUGUUCUUGUGGGUUUCCUCUUGGUGCUCUGGUUUCCUCCUGCAGUCCAAAGACAUACUAGUAGGCUAAGUGUAUUCUGGGCAAAUUGGUCCUGGUGUGAGUGUGUGUGCGUCUACCCUGUGAUGGACUGGCGUCCUGUCCAGAGUGUACCCUGCCUUGCACCCAUUGCUUGCUGGGACAGACUCCGGCUCCCACAAGACCCUCUUUUGGAUAAAUCGGUUAGAUCAUGGAUGGAUUCUUGUAAUUAACUAUAAAUGUCUUAAGCUUCAAAGAACAAACAAAAUUCUUAAUUAUUAAAAUGCUAUUUCAUUAAAAUGCAACUAUUAUUGUCCUAAUCGACUUUUUUUUUGAAAAAUGAAGUGUUGAUGACCGCUGAAAAGCAACAUUAACAGUGUGAUUCGCUAGACAAUUACAGAUAUGACAGAUAAUUCCAUUAAUAAAUUGAAAAGUUCCCAAAUUAAGGACAUAUCAUUGCAUUAAGAAAUUAGGAAAACACACAGAGUGUAACCUGUAUAAAUUGACUCCCAGGAUCAGUUUGGUCACAGUUUAACUGGUUUAGGUCCAAGGUCUGAAAAUUAACAUUUUAAGGUUCAGUCAAGGAUUUUAGUAGAAAACUCAAAAGACAUUGUAGUCCCAAGAACCAGAGUUAGGAAGCCCUGGCCUUAAAAAAUAAUGACGAGAUUGAUGUCCUCAACAUGGGUUUUAGCUCGUUUUGUGUGUCACAUUUGGUUACUCUUUUUUGCUUGGGUCUUUAGACUUGUCGUUUGUAAGUGCAGAGAGUCCCGAAGCUCCUGUGUUGUGGACAGCUUAUCCAGGAUGUGCUGAGGAGCAGGCAAGUUAUCUGGAAACCAGUGCUCUCCUGCUUCCAGAUACCUCCGAGCUUGCAGAUGACGGCCGACUUUGGCGAAGCGCUGGAAUAAUAAAAGACUUUCUCGCUUUCGCGGCCUGCAAGUACUUAGUUCUUUUCGUGUAAGUGCGCAGAUGAGACUCAUUAAGAGCAGAAGUGAAACACCACACAUGUGGCCGAAGAGCUCAAGGUGCGUGGGUAUUGUCUUGUGUAAUGCAGCUCUGGGGGGCCGCUUGUGUCCUCUUCGGUGAGUUUGUUGCCGGCGCGUUUUGCCUGUCAGUCAUUUUCCACAGGGGGGCCCCACACUUGGAUCAACGUCCCCUCCAUCACAAGCAACCGGGUGGCCCCUUUCGUGGAGAGAGAGGGAGAAAAAAAAAGCUUUCAAAGGGAGAAGCCCCCACCCACACACCUCAUCCCUUUUUUUAAAAUUCAGAAAGAAACAGCUGAUGUACAAAUGGAAAACAGAUCCCGCGAAUGUAGCCUUUCGUGUCAGAGAAGCUGCUGCUGUUUUCCCACAGGACCUUCAGCUGAAGGAAAACAAAAAAAAAAACUUGGGUCAGCAUCUCCUUUUACAAAGCAUUGGAAGAGUAUGCUUCCUUGAAGUCUAAAAAUAUAAAAGCAGAAUGUUAUCUUAUGGUACAUUUAUACAGUAGAAUAGGUUAGAACUAGAUAAAAAUUAGUUUGAAAUCAGUUAGAAAAUGGAUGGAUGGAUGGAUAACAACAGAUUCACAAUUAAGGAAUCGCUCUCAAAGCUGUCUGGAAGGAAUUACACUACAGUAUAUGCUGUGGUUCAGUUAGAUCCUCUAACAAAAUAAUGAACGCAAAAUAUAUAAUUAACUUCUCAAAGU